GGCCGACUAGCUCAGUUGGUUAGAGCGUAGUGCUAAUACUCUGAGGAGCGUCUGCCAAGGGUACGCUAAGGUCGUCGGUUCGAUCCCGGCGUUGGCCA